ACAUCCUACUCGGAUUAACAGGUGUACUCUACAAUAUAACACAUUAUUGUUUGUCAUCUUAUAGAAGUUAUUAGUUAAUGACCUAAAGGAUCUUACACAUGGGAUUAAGCCAUACACCAAAGCAUCAGAAAGCUCUAAAGAGGAUCUGCACAUGAGGUUCCACCAUACCCCAAAGCAUCAAAGCCAUCAUGUUAAUGGCCAACUUCCAUCUAAAGCUGAUGCACCCUGUAGUACAGGUUA